UACGUAGGGGGCUAGCGUUGUCCGGAAUCAUUGGGCGUAAAGAGCUCGUAGGCGGCUAUUCAAGUCGAACGUGAAAUCUCGGAGCUCAACUCCGAGCCUGCGUUCGAUACUGGGUAGCUAGAGUCUGGUAGGGGAGUCUGGAAUUCCUGGUGUAGCGGUGGAAUGCGCAGAUAUCAGGAGGAACACCGGUGGCGAAGGCGGGUCUCUGGGCCGAUACUGACGCUGAGGAGCGAAAGCGUGGGGAGCGAACAGG
rnacentral:rRNA from 1 species